AUUGAACGCUGGCGGCAUGCCUUACACAUGCAAGUCGAACGGCAGCGGGGACUUCGGUCCGCCGGCGAGUGGCGAACGGGUGAGUAAUGUAUCGGAACGUACCAUUGAGUGGGGGAUAACUAUCCGAAAGGAUAGCUAAUACCGCAUAUUCUCUCCGGUGGAAAGCAGGGGACCGCAAGGACUUGCGCUCAUUGAGCGGCCGAUAUCAGAUUAGCUAGUUGGUGAGGUAAAGGCUCACCAAGGCGACGAUCUGUAGCGGGUCUGAGAGGAUGAUCCGCCACACUGGAACUGAGACACGGUCCAGACUCCUACGGGAGGCAGCAGUGGGGAAUUUUGGACAAUGGGCGAAAGCCUGAUCCAGCCAUGCCGCGUGUCUGAAGAAGGCCUUCGGGUUGUAAAGGACUUUUGUCGGGGAGGAAAUCCCCAGCGUUAAUACCGCUGGGGGAUGACAGUACCUGAAGAAUAAGCACCGGCUAACUACGUGCCAGCCGCCGCCGUAA
rnacentral:rRNA from 1 species